GAUGAACGCUGGCGGCGUGCCUAAUACAUGCAAGUCGAACGAAACUUCUUUAUCACCGAGUGCUUGCACUCACCGAUAAAGAGUUGAGUGGCGAACGGGUGAGUAACACGUGGGCAACCUGCCCAAAAGAGGGGGAUAACACUUGGAAACAGGUGCUAAUACCGCAUAACCAUAGUUACCGCAUGGUAACUAUGUAAAAGGUGGCUAUACUACCGCUUUUGGAUGGGCCCGCGGCGCAUUAGCUAGUUGGUAGGGUAAAGGCUUACCAAGGCAAUGAUGCGUAGCCGAAUUGAGAGGUUGAUCGGCCACAUUGGGACUGAGACACGGCCAAAACUCCUACGGGAGGCAGCAGUAGGGAAUCUUCCACAAUGGGCGAAAGCCUGAUGGAGCAACGCCGCGUGGGUGAAGAAGGUCUUCGGAUCGUAAAACCCUGUUGUUAGAGAAGAAAGUGCGUGAGAGUAACUGUUCACGUUUCGACGGUAUCUAACCAGAAAGCCACGGCUAACUACGUG
rnacentral:rRNA from 1 species